UACGUAGGGAGCAAGCGUUGUCCGGAAUCAUUGGGCGUAAAGCGCGCGUAGGUGGCUUCGUAAGUCCGUUGUGAAAGUCAAAGGCUCAACCUUUGAAAGCCGAUGGAUACUGUGAAGCUAGAGUACGGAAGAGGCGAGUGGAAUUCCUGGUGUAGCGGUGGAAUGCGCAGAUAUCAGGAGGAACACCAAUAGCGAAGGCAGCUCGCUGGGACGUUACUGACACUGAGGCGCGAAGGCGUGGGGAGCGAACAGG
rnacentral:rRNA from 1 species